ensembl:snoRNA
UGCCCCUGCCUCCCUCUCUGCUCAGGGCUUCCGGGAGCCAGGAGAGAUGCUGCCCCAGAAGCUAAAGCA